UAAUCAAAAUUCAAAAAAGGUGACAGUUAAGGAUUCCCUCUCAUCUCUGACUCAUUUAAAUACCACUUUUUAGGGCAGCGUUGACACAACAUUCUAGUUCUAGUAGAAGGAUUUCAAAGGUCUCAAAGUGUGCUGCACUGUCUCUUCUCUGUUUCAAGAGGAAAGAAAAGAAAAGGUGAAAAUGGAGGUCAUAAGAGUCUAUAUAAUGACAAUUUUGGCUUUUCUUCUAGCAUUUGCUAUUCCUUCGAUCAAUGCUCAAGUCCCUGAGCCUGCCCCUGCCCCUUCAAACGAUGGAGCUGCAAUCGAUCAAGGAAUAGCCUAUGUGCUUAUGCUGGUUGCUUUGGCAAUUACCUACAUGAUUCACUGAGCACUUUAUUGUAGCCAUGUCUUUUCUUUUCUUUUUCUGUUUUUUCUUCUUCUUCUUCUGGUAGUUGAUUGGUAUUGUAGAUUUCAUAUUUAUUCUGUUCGAUAAUCAAUCCCGUGUAUUCUUUCUAAGGCAGAAAUUCUUCAUUUGUUUAAUUCAUGGUUAAAUUGCAUAAAUUCUAUAAUUUUUCCUUCU